GGAAUUUUUCGCAAUGGGGGCAACCCUGACGAAGCAACGCCGCGUGGAUGAUGAAGUCUCUUGGGACGUAAAAUCCUUUCGACGGGGAAGAAACCGCAAGGUUGACGGUCACCGUAGAAGAAGCCCCGGCUAACUCCGUACCAGCAGCCGCGGUAAUACGGGGGUGGCAAGCGUUGUUCGCAAUUACUGGGCGUAAAGGGCGCGUAGGCGGUUCGUUAAGUUGGGUGUGAAAACUCUGGGCUCAACCCAGAGCCUGCAUCCAAAACUAGCGGGCUAGAGUUCUGGAGGGGAUAGCGGAAUUCCUGGUGUAGCGGUGAAAUGCGUAGAUAUCAGGAGGAACACCGGUGGCGAAGGCGGCUAUCUGGACAGAAACUGACGCUGAGGCGCGAAAGCUAGGGGAGCAA
rnacentral:rRNA from 1 species